rnacentral:tRNA from 1 species
GGGCAUGUAGGAAAAUGGUCGCUUUUUUGACAUGGAAGAAGUCGUUGGUUCAAGUCCAAUCGUGAUCACCA